GGGUGCCAUUUGGGAUCUCCCAUCCUGUGAGGAAACAGUUCCUUUCAGAAGUUUAAAAACCUUUUUUUCAGAUACCUAAAAACUGACAGCUGAAGUUUUCAGAGAGAUUUGGCCACCUGGCUCACAUAAAAAUGUAUGAGAGGUAGGCAUCCAAAUCCCUUAGUCAGCUUUGAAAAAUCUCAACCAAAAACUUUCUGAAAUUUCGAAAGCUGUCCUGACUCAAGAGCCAAGCUCCCCAUCCAAGCAACUCCUCAACAGCAACUGCAGAAGGUACGAGGUGUGGAUCUCAGUGGGAGCAGGAGUCCUCUACACAUCAAAAGUGACAGCAUGCCACAAUCCAGAGAUGGCAGAGGAAGAGUCAGAUGCCCACAACUGAGGAGCAUGGAGAGAGCAAGCCCUUACGCUCCCAUGCCACAGGAUUUAAGCCUUGGUCCUUACUCUGUCAACACUGAAGCCAACGAGGGGGCUGGACAUGAGCUGCAGGCCUGCGUUUAAUGGGAUUGAAGGAGGCAGGGGCAUUCUUCAGGAACAUCAUCAAGCCUGGUAUAACAAGGCACCAGCGGCACAUUCUUAACAAAUGGCGCUGCAGCAAGCUAUUAGAAGCCCUAUUAACGAC